GCAAGCAUGAUCCAAGCAUGAUCAAAGUUUCGAAAAGGAGAUAAAUACAAAGAAUAAUGGAACAAUAACUUUUAGGGACGUGGAUUCACGAAAAUAAACUUACAAAAAUGUGAUCAUCGUUAAAAUGUGAACGUUGGUGUCGCAGCUUUCCAUGCUCUCCACUCCAUGAUGUUUGGCGGAUUUGAGACCUGCUGAGCCAGCAGCCAUCGGAACAGCUAAGUUUUGCUUGUGCUGCACCUCCAGUCAUAUGAUUUGACUGAUGACCUCCUGCCAUCAGCAACAAUCACAGUGUCAUCGCUUAGAUAAACAGCAUCCCUUUGGAUUGGAAAAACUGCCAGUGUCGACCGAGUUUAGGAUCUCCUCAAUUCCCCCUUUCUUUAAAUGUCCUCGUGUACGCCCAUGCGAGUGUGGGUGUAUUCACGAGGACUCCCUUUUACCUAUCCCUCCUGGUGGAUUCAACUUUCCAGCGGAUGGAGCACUUGUGGAUGGAUGCCUGGCUGUAUUUCCUAGGCUCAAAGGUAGGAAAAACUUUCAUCUCUAUCCUUCCUUAAUGACAAUGGAGUGGCGUUUAUUAUAAAUCGUUGCGGAGUACGAUUGUUCAUGGGCCAUGCUGGCUAUAUUCAGCCAACUGGCUGAAACGCUUUCAUCUUGCUGUUUUUGUUUUUCUCAGUCAGGGUUCUUUAAAAUAGCUCACGCGUGUAGAACAAAUGCAGAUCAGGCCUGUUUUUGUACCUCGCAACUUUGUCUGGGGGAAACAAUCAUCAAUUUCAGAAAUAUUUGAACUUGAAAAACUUGAAGCAAAGUGCCGCUUGAGCAUUUUUUUGUCACCAAGAGGGUCUUACUGCCACACCGACACUUUCUGGUAAUUGAUUACAUCCAAGAACAUUUGAAAUCGUUGCGAUUCUACGAAUUGCCAAAAAUUGGAAAAAUGUCUUUCUCAGUCUUUCUCUGUAAUUUUUUUAUAUUUGAAUUCAGAGGAUUUUUGUUUUAGUACCGUACGUUUUCUAUCAAAGCAGUAU